ACAGCCUAGGUUAAGGUACUUCAGCCACCCCAUAGCUGAAUCAAACCCAAUUUAAUUCUGGUGGUCCAUCUUCGCAGCUCAUCAGGUGGCUCACAUCUGCUCCCAGCUGUACUGACAGCUCUCACCUUACUGAUUUUCAUCACUGCCACUCUUCUCACCCUGACCAAAAUCAAGCUUCAAAAGCAGACAGGAGGAGGAAGCACCACAGGAAACUUGGAAGCAGCAGCAGUCGGGGCUGGUCUGAACCCUGGCAAAGAACAAAUGAUGGAGGAAACCCCGAGUCCAGAAAAAGCACCUGAAGGCAGGACAGACACUGGCAAAUGUAGGAUAAUCUACGCUUUCCUUGGAAGACUCAGGAUGACCAACUUAUGCCAACAUUAUAGGGGAAAAAACCACUCUUCAAGGUGACUGACAAAGACCUGAAGCAGAACUCCCUUCUGCCAAAGCCCCGUGUCCCCGAGCUCCCUCUGGAAAGCUGAGGCACAGCUAUAGACUGCAAAGCACCCGGCACCACUUGCUGCUUUCUGCCCUGCUCGGAAGCCGCAUGUCCCGAGCCAAGAGCCAAACCCCCGCGGGC